rnacentral:rRNA from 1 species
UACAGAGGUCUCAAGCGUUGUUCGGAUUCAUUGGGCGUAAAGGGUGUGUAGGUGGCGCCGUAAGUCGGGUGUGAAAUUUCGGAGCUUAACUCCGAAACUGCAUUCGAUACUGCGGUGCUUGAGGACUGGAGAGGAGACUGGAAUUCCGUGGUGUAGCGGUGAAAUGCGCAGAUAUCAGGAAGAACACCCGUGGCGAAGGCGGCUCUCUGGGGACGGUACUGACGCUGAGACGCGAAAGCGUGGGGAGCGAACAGG